rnacentral:rRNA from 1 species
UGACAACAGAGGAAAACAGAACACGUACGCUGGCGGCACGCUAAACAUGCAAGUCGAACGAAGUAGCAAUACUUAGCGGCAGACGGGUGAGUAACAUGUAGGUAUCUGCCCUUUGGCCUGGAAUAACACGAGGAAACUUGUGCUAAUACCGGAUAAGUCUUUACGGAGAAAGCUUUAUGCACCAUUGGAUGAGCCUGCACUUGAUUAGUUUGUUGGUGGGGUAAUGGCCUACCAAGACUGUGAUCAAUAGCUGAUUUGAGAGGAUGAUCAGCCACAUUGGGACUGAGACACGGGCCAAACUCCUACGGGAGGCAGCAGUGGGGAAUCUUGCACAAUGGAGGAAACUCUGAUGCAGCGAUGCCGCGUGAGUGAAGAAGGACCUUGGGUUGUGAAGCUCUUUCAUCGAGGAAGAAAAUGACUGUACCCGAAUAAGAAGGUCCGGCUAACUUCGUGCCAGCAGCCGCGGUAAUACGAAGGGACCUAGCGUAGUUCGGAAUUACUGGGCUUAAAGAGUUCGUAAGUGGUUGAAAAAGUUCGUGGUGAAAUCCCAGAGAUUAACUCUGGAACUGCCAUUUAAACUUUUCAGCUAGAGUAUGAUAGAGGAAAGCAGAAAUUUCUAGUGUAGAGGUGAAAAUCGUAGAAUUUAGAAAGAAAACCAAUUGAGAAAGCAACAUCUUGAGCAUACAUAAAACUAUGAACGAAACCAGGGU